rnacentral:rRNA from 1 species
GAUGAACGCUGGCGGCGUGCCUAAUACAUGCAAGUCGAGCGAACAGAUGAGGAGCUUGCUCCUCUGACGUUAGCGGCGGACGGGUGAGUAACACGUGGAUAACCUACCUAUAAGACUGGGAUAACUUCGGGAAACCGGAGCUAAUACCGGAUAAUAUAUUGAACCGCAUGGUUCAAUAGUGAAAGACGGUUUUGCUGUCUCUUAUAGAUGGAUCCGCGCCGCAUUAGCUAGUUGGUAAGGUAACGGCUUACCAAGGCAACGAUGCGUAGCUGACCUGAGAGGGUGAUCGGCCACACUGGAACUGAGACACGGUCCAGACUCCUACGGGAGGCAGCAGUAGGGAAUCUUCCGCAAUGGGCGAAAGCCUGACGGAGCAACGCCGCGUGAGUGAUGAAGGUCUUCGGAUCGUAAAACUCUGUUAUUAGGAAAGAACAAAUGUGUAAGUAACUAUGCACGUCUUGACGGUACCUAAUCAGAAAGCAACGGCUAACUACGUG